CCCCUCGGUUUUGCUGUUUCGCUUGGGAUCGCGGGUAUCGGUUCCCUGUGCGACUUUAACCGAGGAACUUGCCUCUGAAUUUGACUAGGUUUCAUUGUCUGGAAAAUCGUGAGAAAAUUCAUUGACUGGCGGUGGACAUUGUCACCAGAGGAUGCGCACGCAGUCCCUUUGUGGGGAGUCGUAUUGGGACCAUGUCUGGGGCCUCACGAGAAGCCAUAAAUUCCUCUAGUGCUGAAAUUUUCCUUCUGUUGUUGCUGGAAAGGCGUCGAUAGCUGGGUACUCCAUUGAGGGACAAUAGUGGAGUGUUGCAGGGAGAGGCAAUUGAAUUAUAGACGGACCGUGAAUAUCCAAGGGACACUGCAAAAUUGAUUUUGACAGGAAAAUCACGUGACGGGAUUUAUUACAUGAGGAGGCAGUAUACCAUUUCCAGCCUCCCUGAUUAUAUUCUGCGGUAAUAUAUUGUCCAGGACAGUAUGGAGUUAUGGGGUGGAGAGAGCGCUGCGGCGUUUUCCAACCAUAUGCAGGAUUGAAGCAAUUAUCCACGCAUGAAUUGCCCUCCCACCCCCUCUGCAACAAUUCUCCCCUUCUAGAACAGGCUUUUAUCAACGAUUGCAAGUUUGGCAGAUUGAUCCUGCUAUAGAUGAAUUUUCUGCGAUUUUUUAAUUAGUUUUCCGGAAUGUGGGACUUCACUCCGAGAGUGAUUCGGUAAAGUCGUAAUUGUUUAAAAAUAUUAUCAUUUGAAAUUCAAAUUUUAUACGAAAAUUACAAUCAAAUAUCAAUUUUAAAUGCAACGAUCGGAUUAAGAAUUCAUUGAAUCUGGAAUGGAAAAUGAA